GAUCCUGGCUCAGAUUGAACGCUGGCGGAAUGCUUUACACAUGCAAGUCGAACGGUAGAGGGGGCAACCCCUCGAGAGUGGCGAACGGGUGAGUAAUAUAUCGGAACGUGCCCAGUCGUGGGGGAUAACGUAGCGAAAGUUACGCUAAUACCGCAUACGAUCUACGGAUGAAAGCGGGGGAUCGCAAGACCUCGCGCGAUUGGAGCGGCCGAUAUCAGAUUAGGUAGUUGGUGGGGUAAAGGCUCACCAAGCCAACGAUCUGUAGCUGGUCUGAGAGGACGACCAGCCACACUGGAACUGAGACACGGUCCAGACUCCUACGGGAGGCAGCAGUGGGGAAUUUUGGACAAUGGACGCAAGUCUGAUCCAGCCAUUCCGCGUGCAGGAUGAAGGCCCUCGGGUUGUAAACUGCUUUUGUACGGAACGAAAAGGUUUCCAUUAAUACUGGGAGCUCAUGACGGUACCGUAAGAAUAAGCACCGGCUAACUACGUG
rnacentral:rRNA from 1 species